rnacentral:rRNA from 1 species
GUGAAUUGUGGUGUUGUAGAGUGGGUUGAUGGGCCUUGGCCAACUGUUCUUCAGAGAUGUUUGUGCAAACUAUGGGAGAUGUUCCAUGAGCAGAACUUUGGAAGGGUACAGGACAAGGAGAAGUUUGAGAAGGAGUUGGCCAGGCUUAAGAGUGAACAUGAAAGGGAGUUGGCCAAGCUUAGGACUGAAGAUGACAAGCUUUGCAUUGAGUACACCAAGCUUGUUGAUGAUGUAUCCAAGAUGUUUGAUUGGCAGGAUGGUAGGGUGGACAAGAAGGUGUACCAGAAACAAGUGGAGGAGGAAGAACUUGAGAAGAAGAAGAAGGAGCUAGAGGAGAAAGCUAUGUUGGAGGUGCAGAUGGAAAAGCUCAAACUUGCAAAAGAGCAGAGGUGUAUUUUGCAGAGCCAAGCUGAUAUCAUCAAGAACACCAGGAAGGCUAUGAAGGCUGUUGAAGUUGACAGAGAUGUUCUUAAGAAGGAGAAGGCAAAGCUUGAGCUUUUUGUUGCUGAGCUACUGAAAGAAGGGUAUGGCAGCAAGGAGAAGUUAGAGCAAAUCAAGGCCAUCCUUGAGUCUUGA